AUGGCCAGCGUAGGGAGAGAUGCUAGACUUACGGACGUAUUCUCGCAAAAUUUUUGGCAGCAAGAAGAUCGUGGGCGUGUUGUACAAGGGCGGCGAGCACGCGGCGCAGAACCCCGACUUCGUGGGUUGCGUGGAGAACGCGCUGGGCAUCCGCGCCUGGCUAGAGUCGCAGGGCGCGCGCGAGCAGAGCUGGAGAAGCACAUCGGGAACACGCACGUGCUCAUCACCACGCCGUUCCACCCGGCGAACGUGGGCGCGGACCGGAUCGGCCGCGCCAAGAACCUCGAGCUGCUCCUCACGGCGGGGAUCGGCUCCGACCACGUCGACCUGCCGGCGGCCGCGGCGGCGGGGCUCACCGUCGCCGAGGUCACCGGCAGCAACACCGUGUCGGUGGCGGAGGACCAGCUGAUGCGCAUCCUCGUCCUCCUGCGCAACUUCCUGCCGGCGCACCGCCAGGCCGUCGGCGGGGAGUGGGACCUGGCCGCCGUCGCGCACCGGGCCUACGACCUGGAGGGCAAGACGGUGGGCACCGUCGGCGCCGGCCGCAUCGGGAGGCUGCUGCUCCAGCGCCUCAAGCCCUUCGGCUGCACCCUGCUCUACCACGACCGGCUCCGCGUCGACGCCGCGCUGGAGGAGGAGCUCGACGCCAUGCUGCCCAAGUGCGACGUCGUCGUGCUCAACAUGCCGCUCACCGACAAGACAAGGAAAGCUGCAGCCAGCAACUUGGGCAUGUUCGACAAGGAGAAGAUCGGCAAGAUGAAGAGAGGCGUCAUCAUCGUGAACAACACGCGUGGCGCCAUCAUGGACACGCAGGCGGUGGCAGACGCCUGCAAAAGCGGGCACAUCGCCGGAUACGGCGGCGACGUGUGGUACCCGCAGCCGGCGCCCGAGGACCACCCGUGGAGGUACAUGCCCAACAACGCCAUGACCCCCCACAUUUCCGGCAUCACCAUCGACGCCCAGCUGAGGUACGCGGCGGGCGUGAAGGACAUGCUGGAGAGGUACUCCCUCCAGCAGGACUUCCCGGAGCCCAACUACAUUGUCAAGGAAGGCAAGCUCGCCAGCCAGUACCAGUGA
rnacentral:rRNA from 1 species